CCCACCUUCACCACGUUCUGCCCGUUCACCUGGGCACAGGUAACAGGGGAGACAAGUGUGUGUGACAUCAUACAGGUGUAUGUGACGUCAUUGAGGUGAGUGUGACAUCAUACACGUGUGUGACAUCACCCAGGUGUGUGACAUCACACAGGCAGUGGGUAUGACAGGUAACAGGUGUGACAUCACACAGGUAUCACACAGGUGUGUGCCAGGUGUGACAUCAGGCAGGUAGCGAGUGUGACAUCACAGAGGUAUGACAUCACACAGGUGUGUGACGGGUAUGACAUCACACAGCUGUGACAUCACACAGGUGUGUGACAUCCAACAGGUGUGUGGUGGAUGUGACAGGUGUGACAUCACUCAGGUAACAGGUGUGACGUCACUGAGGUGUCACUCCAGGGCCACAGGGGACACGCCCAGCCUCACCUGUACAGGCGACGCUUCCCAGGAGUCCCCAGGUGUGUUCAGGUGUGCCCAGGUGUAUCCCCAGGUGUGCCCAGGUGUUCCCCCACCAGCCUCACCUGUACAGGUGACGCUUCCCAGGAGUCCCCAGGUGUGUUCAGGUGUGCCCAGGUGUAUCCCCAGGUGUGCCCAGGUGUUCCCCCAGGUGUGCCCAGGUGUGCCCAGGUGUCCCCAGCUAUCCCCAGGUGUGUAUCCAGGUGUGCCCAGGUGUUCCCAAUUUUCCAUAGGUGUGUUCCCAGCUGUCCCCAGGUGUGCCCUGCUGUGGCCAGGUGUGCCCAGGUGUCUCCAGGUGCCUCCAGGUGUUCCCAGCUGUGCCCAGGUGUGUCCCCAGGUGUGCCCAGGUGUGUCCCCAGGUGUGCCCAGGUGUGUAUCCAGGUGUGCCCAGGUGUGUCCCCAGGUGUCCCCAAAUUUCCCCAGCUGUCCCAGGUGUGUCCCCAGGUGCCCCCAGGUGUGUCCCCCGCUGUGCCCCGCCGUGGCCAGGUGUGGCCAGGUGUGGGCGUGGCCUCACCUCGAUCAGGAAGUCUCCCAUGCGCAGCCCCGCCCUCCAGGCCACGCCCCCCUCAUCCACGGACUCCAGGUACUGCAGGGCGGGGAAGGCGGGGGGGGGGGGGGGGGGGGGGGGGGGGGGGGGGGGGGGGGGGGGGGGGGGGGGGGGGGGGGGGGGGGGGGGGGGGGGGGGGGGGGGGGGGGGGGGGGGGGGGGGGGGGUGAGAGGAGUCAGGGGAGAUUUGGUGAAAAUUUGGGGGAAUUUGGGGGAAAUUUGGGGGAAUUUGGGGAAAAUUUGGGAAAUUUGGGGAAAUUUGGGGGAAUUUGGGAAAAUUUGGGGAAGAAUUUUGAGAUUUUGGGGGAAAAUUGGGGGGGGGGGGGGGGGGGGGGGGGGGGGGGGGGGGGGGGGGGGGGGGGGGGGGGGGGGGGGGGGGGGGGGGGGGGGGGGGGGGGGGGGG
rnacentral:lncRNA from 12 species